UACGGAGGGUGCAAGCGUUAUCCGGAUUCACUGGGUUUAAAGGGUGCGUAGGUGGGUUGGUAAGUCAGUGGUGAAAUCUCCAGGCUUAACUCGGAAAGGUCAACUGAUACUGUGCGACUAGAGUGCAGAAGGGGCAACUGGAAUUCUCGGUGUAGCGGUGAAAUGCGUAGAUAUCGAGAGGAACACCUGCGGCGAAGGCGGGUUGCUGGGCUGACACUGACGCUGAUGCGCGAAAGCCAGGGGAGCGAACGGG
rnacentral:rRNA from 1 species